GACGAACGCUGGCGGCGUGCCUAACACAUGCAAGUCGAACGGUCCGGCACUCAACUGACCCUCAGUCUAACUGUAGGGGAAGUUGAGUGCCGGGUAGUGGCGGACGGGUGAGUAACGCGUGGGCAACCAACCCUGUACAGUGGGAUAACACCGGGAAACCGGUGCUAAUACCGCAUGACACCUAUAUGGUGCAUACCGUAUAGGUUAAAGGAUUUAACCGGUACAGGACGGGCCCGCGUCCCAUUAGCUAGUUGGUGAGGUAACGGCCCACCAAGGCGACGAUGGGUAGCCGACCUGAGAGGGUGACCGGCCACACUGGGACUGAGACACGGCCCAGACUCCUACGGGAGGCAGCAGUGGGGAAUAUUGCGCAAUGGGGGGAACCCUGACGCAGCGACGCCGCGUGAGCGACGAAGGCCUUCGGGUCGUAAAGCUCUGUUCUUGGGGACGAAGGAAAUGACGGUACCCAAGGAGAAAGCCCCGGCGUAACUACGUG
rnacentral:rRNA from 1 species